GUCAAAUAUAAAACUUCCUAAAUAGAUAUAUUUCUGAGAAGUGCUGUACAUUGUGAUAAAUGUCAAUCUGCCAACAAGACAAUCUCAACUUGCAAAAUGCUUUUGGAAUUUAGUAAAUUAUCGGUACUGUCAGACAUUUUCCAAAAUUGCUGCUUCAGUUCAUCCACAUACAAACAAACAAGUUCCACUUUGUAAUGUCAAAUAUUUGUUUUAAAGUUGGAAAAGUAUAUUUUAAAAUCACAAAGUUUGUUCCAAAGUUCAAAUGUGUUGUUAGAAACCAUAAUUUGUUUGCCAAAAGAAUACGAAAACAACUGAAGAACACAACCCCCCUAUAAGUCAACACUGUAUAGAACUGCCUUGUUCCUCAACAAAUCCAUUUUAUUUGUGUCCAGGAAUAAUCAAACUCAUAAUAAGAGUGUGCUGGGGUAAAUAAGACAAGACUCUUAAACAACAAGGCAGUUCUAACAGUGUCAAUUUUAAAGGUGUUGUAAACUUCAAUUGAUCCCAAAUUGUCUGUUCCAAGAUACUAAUUAUGCGAUUUUAAAAUAUGAACUUUUCAAACUCUCAAACAAAAUAAUGAAAGUCUACUUAAACAAGAGAAUACUGAGAUGGUAAUUCAGAA
rnacentral:lncRNA from 1 species